AGUAAAUGUUUACCUACUAUUUCU
rnacentral:siRNA from 1 species